rnacentral:tRNA from 1 species
GAUGAGAUAGACUUUUCACUUACAAUGAAAAAAACCCUAUGGGCAUUUUUUAUUUUAUCUAGGUUUUAA